UGCAAUGCUUAGCACAUGAUGGGCCCUGA
rnacentral:piRNA from 1 species